rnacentral:rRNA from 1 species
GAGUUUGAUCCUGGCUCAGGAUGAACGCUAGCGGCAGGCUUAAUACAUGCAAGUCGAGGGGCAGCAGCUUUAUAGCAAUAUAGAGGCUGGCGACCGGCAAACGGGUGCGGAACACGUACACAACCUUCCUUGAAUAGGGGGAUAGCCCAUAGAAAUGUGGAUUAAUACCCCGUAAUAUAGCGGUGUGGCAUCACACUGUUAUUAUAGUUUCGGCGAUUCGAGAUGGGUGUGCGGCUGAUUAGGUAGUUGGCGGGGUAAAGGCCCACCAAGCCUUCGAUCAGUAGCUGAUGUGAGAGCAUGAUCAGCCACACGGGCACUGAGACACGGGCCCGACUCCUACGGGAGGCAGCAGUAAGGAAUAUUGGUCAAUGGACGCAAGUYUGAACCAGCCAUGCCGCGUGAAGGAUGAAGGUCCUCUGGAUUGUAAACUUCUUUUAUAGGGGGCGAAAAAAGGUCUUCUAGAUCACUGACA